rnacentral:rRNA from 1 species
GUGGGGAAUAUUGGGCAAUGGGCGGAAGCCUGACCCAGCGACGCCGCGUGGGGGAAGAAGUCUUUCGGGAUGUAAACCCUUGUUGUACGGGACGAAGGAAGUGACGGUACCGUACGAGGAAGCCCCGGCAAACUACGUGCCAGCAGCCGCGGUAAUACGUAGGGGGCGAGCGUUGUCCGGAAUCACUGGGCGUAAAGCGCACGUAGGCGGGCUGUCAAGUCGGCCGUGAAAGGCACGGGCUCAACCUGUGCAUGUCGGUCGAUACUGGCGGUCUGGAGUAUGGGAGAGGGAACUGGAAGUCCCGGUGUAGCGGUGAAAUGCGUAGAUAUCGGGAGGAACACCAGUGGCGAAGGCGGGUUCCUGGCCCAUGACUGACGCUGAGGUGCGAAAGCCGGGGGAGCGAACGGGAUUAGAUACCCGAGUAGUCC